rnacentral:lncRNA from 1 species
UCUCUCUCUCACAGUCUAUAACUCUACCUGUCAAAUAAAUUUAAAAAAUUAAAAAAAAAAAAGAAGUGAACUUUGCAAGUAUUUUUUUGUCGUCUGGCACAGUGGUACCUGUUGUCCUAUUGGUUUGUCCUCACACUGGAUGAAAAGGAGUUUCUUUUUCUGAGUUUUACUGUGCACUGCUUGUCAAAUUCCUGUGCAGUGUACAGAUUCUCCAGGACUUUCUCUUGUAGAGGAAGUAGGUCACAGAGCCCCAUAUCUGCAGCUGAACUUGACCCAGAGCAGCCAGAAGUUUCUCUGGAACCUCCUCUGUUGACUUCAGACUCUGAUACUGCCAGCAAGGCACCAGGCUAAGAACAAUAUCUCCCAACACUCUUCUGGUGAGUUCCAAAGCCCGACACUUACCCAUGAUGGCUUCCUCAGCAUUUCAGAGGACAGACUUCCAGAAAAUCCUGCUUGCAGAGUGCCUCAGCUCCUUCUUGCUAAUCAGUGAGCCACAGCCAUGCCCUCUUCAGUGAGAUCUGUUUCUCAGGCCUGUUUAGUGAGUUCUUCCGUGGACACACUCUCUCAGUGCUAGGUUAUAGUAGCUUCUCCCGAAACCAACCUGGGGCCAGGCGCCCCAGGUAGGCAAACUUCCGCGUGGGCUUCAGCCGCACGACGUUGAGCCUCCCGGGGACCACCAUCCGCUUUUUCUUGUCGUAGGGCAGCGGGAUUCCAUCGAAUACCUUGAGGCGGUCCAGGGCAGCCUGGCCCCACUUGGUCUUAUGGGGCAGCAUGCCUCGCACGGUUCGCCAGAAGAUGCGGCUGCGGGCCUGGAAGUGGUAGGGGCCCCGGGAUGGGUUGGCGUUCAUCCGCUUGCGGAGGAAGGCCAGGUACUUCACCAGCAGCGCCUGCUUGGCCACGAUGGCCGCCAGGUGGCCCGAGAGGUGGCCUGGCCGUCCAGCACCAGGACCUGCCCCUCUGCCAUCUUCAGCAGCUGCCUGGGAAAAACUUUAAAGAUAUAAUUUUUUUUUUUUGACAGGCGGAGCGGACAGUGAGAGAGAGAGACAGAGAGAAAGGUCUUCCUUUUGCCGUUGGUUCACCCUCCAAUGGCUGCCGCGGCCGGCGUACCGCACUGAUCCGAAGGCAGGAGCCAGGUACUUCUCCUGGUCUCCCAUGGGGUGCAGGGCCCAAGCACUUGGGCCAUCCUCCACUGCACUCCCUGGCCACAGCAGAGGGCUGGCCUGGAAGAGGGGCAAUCGGGACAGAAUCUGGUGCCCCGACUGGGACUAGAACCUGGUGUGCCGGCGCCGCUAGGUGGAGGAUUAGCCUAUUGAGCCGCGGCGCCAGCUGAAAAGAUAUAAUUUCAAAAGCAUCAUUCUAUACUCAGAUAAACUCAAUAUUAUAUAUGUAGGAGGUCUUUAAUAAAUGUU